UACGUAGGGGGCAAGCGUUGUCCGGAUUUAUUGGGCGUAAAGAGCGUGUAGGCGGCCAGACAGGUCCGUUGUGAAAACUCGAGGCUCAACCUCGAGACGCCGAUGGAAACCGUUUGGCUAGAGUCCGGAAGAGGAGAGUGGAAUUCCUGGUGUAGCGGUGAAAUGCGCAGAUAUCAGGAAGAACACCCGUGGCGAAGGCGGCUCUCUAGGACGGUACUGACGCUGAGAAGCGAAAGCGUGGGGAGCGAACAGG
rnacentral:rRNA from 1 species